CCUACGGGAGGCAGCAGUAAGGAAUAUUGGUCAAUGGACGCAAGUCUGAACCAGCCAUGCCGCGUGCAGGAUGACUGCCCUAUGGGUUGUAAACUGCUUUUGUACGGGAAGAAACCCCUCUACGUGUAGAGGGUUGACGGUACCGUAAGAAUAAGGAUCGGCUAACUCCGUGCCAGCAGCCGCGGUAAU
rnacentral:rRNA from 1 species